UACGAAGGGUGCAAGCGUUGCUCGGAAUUAUUGGGCGUAAAGGGUAGGUAGGUGGUGACAUUUUGUCUGGGGUGAAAUCCCUGAGCUUAACUCAGGAAGUGCCUUGGAAACGGUGUCACUAGAGUACUGGAGAGGUUCGCAGAAUUCUUGGUGUAGCGGUGAAAUGCGUAGAGAUCAAGAGGAAUACCAGAGGCGAAGGCGGCGAACUGGACAGUAACUGACACUAAACUACGAAAGCGUGGGGAGCAAACAGG
rnacentral:rRNA from 1 species